rnacentral:misc_RNA from 1 species
GAUGAAGAACGUAGCGAAAUGCGAUACGUAAUGUGAAUUGCAGAAUUCAGUGAAUCAUCGAGUCUUUGAACGCACAUUGCGCCCCCUGGUAUUCCGGGGGGCAUGCCUGUCCGAGCGUCAUUGCUGCCCUCAAGCACGGCUUGUGUGUUGGGCCUCCGCCCCCCGGCUCCCGGGGGGCGGGCCCGAAAGGCAGCGGCGGCACCGCGUCCGGUCCUCGAGCGUAUGGGGCUUCAUCACCCGCUCCGUAGGCCCGGCCGGCGCCCGCCGGCGACCCCCCUCAAUCUUUCCAGGUUGACCUCGGAUCAGGUAGGGAUACCCGCUGAACUUAAGCAUAUCAAUAAGCGGAGGA